UCCAAUACCAAGAGGAGAUUCACUUUUGAGUUACACUGGCUGUAAGGAAACAGGCAGAUGAUAGAAAACAGGCAAGCAAAUCUGUAAACAUAGACCACAGGAAUUAUGAAGUGCUAUGUGAAUUAUAAAAUCAAUGCUGUUAUUCACAAUGCUGGAAGACAGAUUCAGGAGCCUACACUUAGGUCUUGGAUCAAUGCAACUUCAAGCAAGAGCCUUGGCUCUGGCCUUUUUCCUGGAGAGCUCUCUGGAGACUGGGCUGUGCCCGAUGCAGGGUCUGGUGAGGGGCAGUGCUGUCUCUAGCUGUGGGACAAAACUCAGGCUGCAAUCAGGGCACUCCAUCAGGAAUCUCAUUCCCCAGCAACAGCCAAAGAAGAUUGGUGGAGAGGACUGCAAGGAGCAGGGUCCCAUAGCAGGACCCCCUCUGCACCACAUUUAAGGGAGACAAGAAAGAUCCAGAGGUUCUUUAAAGAAUAUUGGUCACUAGGUGGGAAAAAAACAUGUUUCCCAGAGGAAUACAUCAUUUGAAUACCCUGAAACUGUCUAAUUGACCUUGAGAAGAAGUAAUACUGGAGUUAAUUAGGAUUGUAUUAAAACUUAAACCCUGACAGUUUCAUCUGUUGCUUCAACUUUCAAGACUUUUAUGUUUGAAUUACUUCCAAAAGCGUGCAGGUGAUGGCCUGUACUUUGUCACAGUUCACAGGGUAGGCAGAAACUUAAACAGAACCAUGUUCUUGCAAGAACAUUAUUUUAUCUGAAGUGCAACUAACAGGAAGGUCAUAUUCUACCCUUUUCCCUCCCCUCUCUCCCUUAAACACCUUAUUUGCUACAGCUACAGAGAUUUAGAAAGAAAAAUCAGGGCAUCAUAUAAUGAUUCAUAGCCAAGCACAGCAGAAGCAUUAAUCAUUUUUAACUCUAAAAGCAUAUAAACUUCCAAGGAUGAUCAGUCAAUGCAACACGUUUAUAUUUUAGGUGGAAAUCAGAUUUAGAAAUGGAACAUCCUGAACCUCUGACCAGAGAACAAAGUAUAUGAAAUGCCACAGAGCCGUUUUCAAAGAGCCCAAAUGCAUGGCUUCUACUCAUGUAAAGAGGCAGCCUUUCAUAUAGGCAAUCCUAUUAUUUGCAAUUCAGUUCAUGGUUCAAGAAAAUAUCAGGAAAGAUGAGCCAGAGGAGCAGAACAGAGCCACACAUGCUGGGUCUGCCUGUCUCUCUUAACAAGAGAAGUAAAGGAGGGAUGCUGAUGCUUGACAGAAGAGUUGAAAACUUGGAAGAGACCUUGUGUGAUUCAUUCUUCUGUCUGAAUAGACCUUGGUGAUCUUUCUGAUGAUUCUCACAUAUGUUCCUAGUGGGUCUUCUGGAAUUAGAAAUGUUGAAAAAGAAAGUACUGAGUGUAAGCUCUGUCCUGGGAUACAUGGCAAAAAGAGAACAUCCCUAGGAAAAAGAAAACCCAGCAGUGACAAAUACCAAGUGCAAUACUCAGCAGAGGACAAGGCACACUAUAUGAUUUUUUUAAUACGUGU